UACGUAGGGCCAAGCGUUGUCCGGAUUUAUUGGGCGUAAAGAGCUCGUAGGCGGUUCGGCAAGUCAGCUGUGAAAUCUCCACGCUCAACGUGGAGGGGUCAGCUGAUACUGCUGUGACUUGAGUCCGGUAGGGGAGUGUGGAAUUCCCGGUGUAGCGGUGAAAUGCGCAGAUAUCGGGAGGAACACCAGUAGCGAAGGCGGCACUCUGGGCCGGUACUGACGCUGAGGAGCGAAAGCGUGGGGAGCAAACAGG
rnacentral:rRNA from 1 species